UCAAAAAAGAGGUUGUGGCAGGGAAAACCUGGACAUAUAGUAACCCUAUGGCUUUGGCAGUGAAUUGUCGGAUACAUUUUAAACUCUGCUGCUGUCACACCACCAAGCCUGGGAGGCUAGUGGACAAAGAAAUCUCCCCUGGAGCUGCCAAUUUUCUCCCAGUGUUGAUAAGGGGGUCACUGGCCUAGAAGAGCAGAGACCAGCACCAGCAGAAUCAGCACUUCAAAUCAAUACUGGGAAGACACUACAGUGUGCUAAGGACACAGAUGACUUCUAUGGGAUCAGGAGCAAUGGAGACCAUUCCAAGGACAGGACAGCUUAGAAAAUAAACAGCUAUCAAGCCCUUGCUGCUCUGCCCAACAAUGUUGCUGCUUAGUUUCUAUUGCAUUUGUUAACUGCUCCGUAGCAGAACCAGGAGCAGGACCACUCUCUCUUCUAACCUAGAAUGUAUUGUUAUUAUCCUUCAUAUCAGGAAACAGCCUUCUGAUGAGGUUUUCGGUAAUACCUGUUUGAGAGGAACUGGGCUGGUGAGAUCACAGUCACAUGAACUUGCAGGGACCAAAAUACCUUGGAGUCAUCAGGUAUUUUCUGCUUUUCAAGGGGAGGUCUGCUUGCCCGUGGCAGAGGGACCAGUUGGAGGAAGUGGAACAUUUGCUCCCUUCUACCUGGAUCAGCAGAACAGAGGCAUGGUGAAAUGUUACCGUUGAGUAAGCUGCCUCGCAAGGAUCACCACCAUCAUCCCAGAAUUCAGAAUCAAUGCCAGUUAAGCAGGAGGAUGGUCACUGCCUGCCUGGGGACCCUGGUGCUGGGGGAAGGGAGUCUAUGUAUUGGUUCUCAAGAUUGGGGAUCUGAGUUAGAGGUUGAGGAGGUCUUGGGAUGAGGCUCUGGACUAAGAAGUGGGUUGGCUGGGGGUCUGGAGAAGGGAAGGAAGGCGGCAUGUCUGCUGUGGCCUAUGCUUGUAGCUUGACAUUCUGAUGUGAGUCAAAUGACACUAAGACACUUAGAAAAACCUAUUUGAUACUAAAACUACAACAUCCCCAAAAAGAAAAUAAACAACCAUCCUUCCAUUUGAUUUCAAGGGACAAUAAAAAUAUACAAAGCAGGGUUUUGAAAAUCACCUUUAAAUGCCCUAAAUACUGGAUAUGUGCUUAGUCAAAGCUGGAAUCAAUAAAAGUGGCUCUGGCAGUGAAUUUAUUUAUUUAUAUACAUUUUUUUUUACAGAAGGGGCAGCAGGGGUAGAGAGGUGUCUCUUAAUGGAUUCCUGAUGUUGAACCGUAUGCAUACUAUAUGAGUAAAAGCUCUAGCAAUUUCCCAAGUAUUGCAAUUUGUAAUUUUUUUUUUAAGUUUCUAUGUAAAUAACUACACAGAGGAUAAUGUCUCCAUUACACUUAUUACUAUCCAUUUAUUAUUUUAAUGUUAUUAGUUUUUAAUACAAGGAGAUUAAAAAAUUAAUGGAAGACUGUAAACAAAUACUUUUUUUUUUAGUGUACAAAAGACAGCUGCAUUGGCCAAUGUUACAUCUACUUUUUUGUAUUUAUAUUUCUAUAGCUAAAAAUCUUGCUUUAAGAAUUGUGGAACAAUUCAUUACAGAUGGCAUAUAGCACUUCUUGGCUUAGAAGUCACAAGUUUUCAUGUUAAAGGUCUUGUAGCUUCUCAAGUUAUGUUAACAAAUUAAAUGCAAUUAUUUGAUUUCUAAGUGUGAAUGUUUCACAGGAGGAAAAAUCUGGCAGAUAAAGA